rnacentral:misc_RNA from 1 species
GUCCACUUAACUUGGAGUCCAGAACUCUCACUUUCUAACCCUGUGCACUUGUUUGGGAUAGUAACUCUCGCAAGAGAGCGAACUCCUAUUCACUUAUAAACACAAAGUCUAUGAAUGUAUUAAAUUUUAUAACAAAAUAAAACUUUCAACAACGGAUCUCUUGGCUCUCGCAUCGAUGAAGAACGCAGCAAAAGAUCAUUAAUGAAUAUGGGACCUCAACUUAACUUGGAGUCGAACUCUCACUUUCUACCCUGUGCACUUGUUUGGGGAUAGUAACUCUCGCAAGAGAGCGAACUCCUAUUCACUUAUAAACACAAAGUCUAUGAAUGUAUUAAAUUUUAUAACAAAAUAAACUUUCAACAACGGACCCUUGGCUC